UACAGAGGGGGCGAGCGUUGUUCGGAAUUACUGGGCGUAAAGGGCGCGUAGGCGGCCCGCUAAGUCGAACGUGAAAUCCCCAGGCUCAACCUGGGAACUGCGUCCGAUACUGGUUGGCUUGAAUCCGGGAGAGGGAUGUGGAAUUCCAGGUGUAGCGGUGAAAUGCGUAGAUAUCUGGAGGAACACCGGUGGCGAAGGCGACAUCCUGGACCGGUAUUGACGCUGAGGCGCGAAAGCCAGGGGAGCAAACGGG
rnacentral:rRNA from 1 species